ensembl:lncRNA
CAGGGAUGUUCUCUGUUUAGUGAGUCCACCAGAUCAGAGGCAGUAGGGAUGACCAGGGAUGUUCUCUGUUUGGUGAGUCCACCAGAUCAGAGGCAGUAGGGAUGACCAGGGAUGUUCUCUGUUUAGUGAGUCCACCAGAUCAGAGGCAGUAGGGAUGACCAGGGAUGUUCUCUGUUUAGUGAGUCCACCAGAUCAGAGGCAGUAGGGAUGACCAGGGAUGUUCUCUGUUUAGUGAGUCCUCCAGAUCAGAGACAGUAGGGAUGACCAGGGAUGUUCUCUGUUUAGUGAAUCCACCAGAUCAGAGGCAGUAGGGAUGACCAGGGAUGUUCUCUGUUUAGUGAGUCCACCAGAUCAGAGGCAGUAGGGAUGACCAGGGAUGUUCUCUGUUUAGUGAGUCCACCAGAUCAGAGGCAGUAGGGAUGACCAGGGAUGUUCUCUGUUUAGUGAGUCCACCAGAUCAGAGGCAGUAGGGAUGACCAGGGAUGUUCUCUGUUUAGUGAGUCCACCAGAUCAGAGGCAGUAGGGAUGACCAGGGAUGUUCUCUGUUUAGUGAGUCCACCAGAUUAGAGGCAGUAGGGAUGACCAGGGAUGUUCUCUGUUUAGUGAGUCUACCAGAUUAGAGGCAGUAGGGAUGACCAGGGAUGUUCUCUGUUUAGUGAGUCCACCAGAUCAGAGGCAGUAGGGAUGACCAGGGAUGUUCUCUGUUUAGUGAGUCCACCAGAUCAGAGGCAGUAGGGAUGACCAGGGAUGUUCUCUGUUUAGUGAGUCCACCAGAUCAGAGGCAGUAGGGAUGACCAGGGAUGUUCUCUGUUUGGUGAGUCCACCAGAUCAGAGGCAGUAGGGAUGACCAGGGAUGUUCUCUGUUUAGUGAGUCCACCAGAUCAGAGGCAGUAGGGAUGACCAGGGAUGUUCUCUGUUUAGUGAGUCCACCAGCUCAGAGGCAGUAGGGAUGACCAGGGAUGUUCUCUGUUUAGUGAGUCCUCCAGAUCAGAGACAGUAGGGAUGACCAGGGAUGUUCUCUGUUUAGUGAGUCCACCAGAUCAGAGGCAGUAGGGAUGACCAGGGAUGUUCUCUGUUUAGUGAGUCCUCCAGAUCAGAGACAGUAGGGAUGACCAGGGAUGUUCUCUGUUUAGUGAGUCCACCAGAUCAGAGGCAGUAGGGAUGACCAGGGAUGUUCUCUGUUUAGUGAGUCCACCAGAUCAGAGGC